CAAAUUUGGGCCAGCGCCCCGGCGCCUAGCGUUGCCCAUCGAAAAAAGGAACACCGAGCAUAGCACCACUAACUCUUCGGCUGAAGCACUGCCUUCCCUCUGUCACCUCAGCCAUGCACACAAGAACUCAACCAUAGCCAGAUCGGUGCAAAGAGAGAGCAGAGGACACACAGAGGCAACCAGUGUUUCAGUUGUAGGCUCAGGCAACAAACAAGUGCUACUAACCGAAUGUAGCGAACCAACUGCCGGGUCAACCACAACUCUCCAUUAGGAGCUUAUAUCUAUAUUAUAUCUAUACCAGUAUAAAAAGACCCAAAGGGGUAGAUCCAACACAUCUCAGCCAUCCAUUCGCGUUAAUCCAACAGUCUUUAUUGUUCUAAUGUUGAGCGACUAAACACGUUUAGCGCUAAACACUAUCCAUUCGCUGAUCCCGUUCCUAUCGCACAAAAGGAAACUCCUCACAAGGGAACUGCCACACCAUCAUGGACGCCUCCUCGCUCCGCCUCAAUCGCAUCGAGCCGCCACCCCCAUCGCAUCAAGCUAUCGCACCAAGCCGUCGUGCCCCCAUCGCCCUUGAUCUGCCAUCCCUCACAUCCCCGUACGGCCCCCACCCAUUGCCUCGCCUGGCCUCGGCCGUCGGCGUCGCCGUCGGACAGAAGCCGCCUCCUACACCACCUGGCCGACCGCCCGUCAGGUACGCCACCUCCUACAACCCCUGGUCCGCUGUCCGUCAGGGACACCGCCUGGUCCGCUAUCCGUUGGGGACGCCGCCUGGCCGGCCAUCGUGGCAGCCGCCGGAGACGCAGCCUAAACUGCCUUGCGGGCCAUUGGGGACGCCGCCUAAACCCCCCUCUGUUCACAUCUCCCCCUCAUCUCGCACAGUCAGGGACGAGCUGCCUUCAAACACGCAGCCUCCGGACCGGGGUUCUUUCAUCUCUGCUUUCUUUCGUUCACCUUGUUUUUUCAGUCACGUGCUGCUUCACAUUUGAGAUUUUUCUUCAUGUGUGUGAGAUAUUGAUUCAUGUUGAUAAAACUGAAGCCAGCCAAAGCAAAGCUUGUUACUAGAGUUUUAAAAGAAUCUUCCUUAGGCUAUUUGAAUGCAUACAUUCAGCAGUUAAGUUUCAUUACCAAUGUGAUUUGCAUUGCUUGUAUUUUGGGCUCACAGAUGAUCAUAUUAUACUGAUUUCACAGAUUUUGUACACACAUCAAGCACAUGAAAAAUAGUCAUUUGGGUGCUUCUCUGUCACCAUCAGGGAAUCGUUCCCAGUUUUUCGUGCAAUGUAGCUAUCCUGUCAUGCCUCUUUUCCAUUCAUCCAUCAGAAUCCCACCGGUUGGAAUCAUGUACAUCUCAUAUGCCAGGCAAAAUAUGGACAGAGCGGCGCAGAGCAAGCAGUUAGGGAUCCACAACGUUUAUUCAACCUACAUAUGCCAGCCCUACCCAACAAUCAUUCAGUUUUUGGCUUCUCUAAUUUUUCUAUUGGAAAUGGAUCAUUGUGAUGAGAGAUUGUCCAACCAAUGUGCUUUCCGUUUUUCAGCUGGUACGGAGGGGAUUAAGCACUCCUUUGUUAUCUUGCACAUUCAGCCUUCAGGAAGGAACCACAUUUGAUCUUGUGCAGUUCAAGACUGGCCUGAAGCGUCGCUCCUUCAGGAAGGAAACACAUUUGGUCUUGUGCAGUUCAAGACAGGCCUGAAGCGUCGCUGUAAUGGUUCAGGAAAGGAAGGAACUCGGCGGCUGGCUGGCCCAGCUAUGAUGCGUGCAACUCAGCAGAUAGCUUCCUGGACACCCACAGUCUUAGUUCUAAGGCUGUUACUACAGUAAUCAGGCACUACGUACGACCAUAUCGGAAUGCUUUUUUAUCUUCUUUCUUUGCUCCAAGAUUUGGAUAGUACAUUAUCAAGUGGUCUUACUUACAGUUCAGUAUAAUACUCCCUCCGUCCGAAAUGGAUAGAAAUGGAUGUAUGUCGAACUAAAAAAUACGUCUAGAUAAAUUCAUUUAUGCGACAAUUAAUUCCGGAUGGAGGGUGUAUGAGAUACAAGACGAGGUCGUUCAGAAAUGUGCUUUGACAUGACAGUAACAGUAUAGAGGUAAGGAGAAGUUGUUUGUUGGAAUCCACGGUGCACCGUACAUACAAUUCAGUCAUGUUAACAUGCCAUGUUAUUUGCUAUUAGCCAAAGCUUAGGAAAUUUUGUUGAAGCUGUUCCUCUUUCUCUAUCCUUUAUUAGUCUCAAGGCACCCGGUUCUUUUGUCUAGCUCUAUAUCCACUCAACUUUGACGUAUUUUUUUCUCAGCUCUGUAUUUCAUUGGUGCCGUGACAUUUACACGCAUAUAACAAGUGUUAAAAUUCUAACAUGCAGGGUUCUUGAGCGGUUGACUGGAGGUCCUGUCCUACAUGUUCUCUUAUGCACCAUUGUACAAUUGGCUAGCUAAAUGAGUGUACGGUAAAUUUCAAUUUUUUAUGUACUUUCAUCUGCUAGGAUUUUAAGGUAGUAUAAGCUUUGGUAUUUUGUACGGAAAAGGGUGUUUUUUCCUGAUGUACACACUUUAGUCUUCGUGUUAUUAAUGCAGGUGAACAAUUCACACUUUUUAUUGAUCCACCAUAUUAUUUCUUUCUUUGUUUACAUGCCCAUAUGUUAUGUAAACCGAGGAAGCAAGUUUGGGAUGAUGUAACAAAAAUUGAUUUACGCAUAGGAAUAUGAAGCAGACACGGGGACUGACACCUGGUGAAGGCUAGCUUCUAAAUAUUCAUUUUUGUUGUUUUUAUGCAUUUUACGUACAUGACUGUAUGUUUUGAUAUACAUUUAAAUUUAUUCAGAUCUGCCACGUGUUAUAACUUUAGAAGAACUCUUGCAGAAUCUUUUUGUAUGAUCUUCACGUGUGUUGCGUCUUCAACCAUCGGAUGUAUAGCUGGAACUACUGGGAGAUAAUGAACAACCACUUGGAAUUACCAACUUAGCUAUGUUCAUUUUAAUCUUUGGUAUUUCUCAUUUAUGGAAAGUAUGCACUCCUUGGUAAAAAGAAUGAGUUCAUGGUGUGUCAUUUAACCUCGCUCACACACUUACAUUACAUUAUAUUUGUUUUCACAAUGCAAUCUGAGAUACGUUAUGCUCGACA